AUUUGCCCUCUCUUCUUAUCUGCACUUGAUUUAUAAGUCAGCACGAGUAUGCAAGAGAAAUAAAGGCAAAGACCUUGAUGCCUCCCUGUGGAGAAUAUGCACCAUUUGGAUUGAAGGCAUGAAAGAGGAGAAAUUAAUGAUCCUCACAUCAGAAGGCAAGGGCAGCCUGAGCUAAACAGCUGGCUGGAUUUGCAUGAAAAUGGACUGCCCUUUUUCAUUUGUUUGUUCUUUGGAAAUUACAGUAGGCUCCUACUGCCAUCCCAGCACAGACCGCAGCGGGACGACCCUUGUGAGAUGAGCAGGCAGAUGCAAAAGUGGUCCUGAGCAGUUGUGACCCUGCGGGAUGGACGCUUCACCUUGGACUGGGCUGGCCAAGCUCUGCCAACCUCGGUGCCAAAAAAACUCCUCCUGAUGCAUCACCACAGCCCCGGGGACACCCCUCUCUCAGCACCUUUCAUCGAC
rnacentral:lncRNA from 1 species